AUUCCAGCUCCAAUAGCGUAUAUUAAAGUUGUUGCAGUUAAAAAGCUCGUAGUUGGAUUUCUGUCGAAGACUUCUGGUCCAUACCAUGUAUGUGUAUCUAGAAAUGCUUUGGCAUCCUCUCGGUGCCCGUCGCCGCCUUUAUUGUGUGGUACGGUGCCCGAGACUUUUACUUUGAGGAAAUUAGAGUGUUCACGGCAGGCAAUCGUCAUGAAUAUAUUAGCAUGGAAUAAUCAUAUAGGACCUAGGGUUCUUUUUGUUGGUUUCAGAAUUUUAGGUAAUGAUUAAUAGGGACAAUUGGGGGCAUUCGUAUUGUCACGUCAGAGGUGAAAUUCUUAGAUUGUGAUACGACGAACUAAUGCGAAAGCAUUUGCCAAGGAUGUUUUCAUCG
rnacentral:rRNA from 1 species